AGUUGCGCCACUCUGAACACUUCC
rnacentral:siRNA from 1 species